GAGUAUCUUCGGAUCUUUGGGCGCACGGGUGCGUAGCGCGUGGGAAUCUGCCCGUGGGUUCGGAAGAACGAGAGAAAUUACUGCUAAUACCGGAUGAUGUCUUCAGAGCAAAGAUUUAUCGCCCAGGGAUGAGCCCGCGUAGGAUUACGUGCCUGGUGAGGUAAUGGCCUACCAUGCCGACGAUCCUUAGCUGGUCUGACAGGAUGAUCACCCACCCUGGGACUGAUACACGGACCACACUCCUACGGGAGGCUGAAAUGGGGAAUAUAGGACAAUGGGAGAAAGCCUGAUCCAACAUUGCCGCGUGAGUGAUGAAGGCCUUAGGGUUGUACAGCUCUUUUACCAAGGAUGAUAAUGACAGUACCUGGAGAAUAAGCUCCGGCUAACUCCGGGCCAACAACCGCGGUAAUACGGAGGGAGCUAGCGUUGUUCGGAAUUACUGGGCGUAAAGCGCGCGUAGGCGGUUACUCAAGUCAGAGGUGAAAGCCCGGGGCUCAACCCCGGAACUGCCUUUGAAACUAGGUGACUAGAAUCUUGGAUAGGUCAGUGGAAUUCCGAGUGUGCAGGUGAAAUUCGUAGAUAUUCGGAAGAACACCAGUGGCGAAAUUCACUGACUGGACAAGUAUUGACGCUGAGGUGCGAAAGCGUGGGGAGCAAACAGGGAUUAGAUACCCUGGUAGUUCACGCACGUAAACGAUGAUAACUAGCUGUCCGGGUACUUGGUACUUGGGUGGCGCAGCUCACGCAUUAAGUUAUCCGCCUGGGGAGUGCGGUCGCAAGAUUAAAACUCAAAGGAAUUGACGGGGGCGGGCACAAGCGGUGGAGCAUGCGGUUUAAUUAGAAGCAACGCGCAGAACGUUCCCAGCGUUUUACAUACCGGUCGAGGAUUUGGGAGACCAUUUCCUUCACUUUGGGUGGACCGUGCACAGGUGCUGCAUGGCUGUCGUCAGCUCGUGUCGUGAGAUGUUGGGUUAAGUCCCGCAACGAGCGCAACCCUUGUCCUUAGUUGCCAGCAUUUAGUCGGGCACUUUAAGGAAGCUGCCCGUGAUAAACCGGAGGAAGGUGGGGAUGGCGUCAAGUCCUCCUGGCCCUUUCACGCCAGGCUACACACGUGCUACAAUGGCGGUGACAGUGGGCAGCAAGCACGCGAGUGUGAGCUAAUCUCCAAAAGCCGUCUCAGUUCGGAUUGUUCUCUGCAACUCGAGAGCAUGAAGGCGGAAUCGCUAGUAAUCGUGGAUCAGCAUGCCGCGGUGAAUACGUUGUUCAGGCCUUGUACACACCGCCCGUCACACCAUCGGAGGAGGAUUCAGUAGAAGGCGUUGAGCUAACCCCCAAGGGAGGCAGGCGACCACAGUGGGAUUACGCGACUGG
rnacentral:rRNA from 1 species